UGUUGACCCUUAUACACACACACUCCCUCUCCAUCUCUCUCUCUGUCUCUCUUCCUCUCUCUCUCUUUGUCUUUCUCUCUCUCUCCUUUCUUUCUUUUUCUCUCUCUCUCACACACAUACUCUCUCUCUCUCUCUCUCUCUCUCUCUCUCUCUCUCUCUCGCACACACACACUGUCUCUGUCUCUCUCUCUCUCACAUACACUCUUUCUCCCUCUCUCUGUCUCUCUCCCUCAUCCUCUCCCUCUCUCUCUCUCUCUCUCUCUCUCUCUCUCUCUCUCUCUCUCUCUCUCUCUCAAUCUCUCUAUCUCUCUCCCUUUCUCUCUCUCUGUCUGUCUCUCUCUCUGUCCCCCCCCUCUCCCUCUCCCUCUCUCUCUGUCUCUCCCUCUCUCUCUCCCUCUCUCUUCCUCUCUCUCUGUCUCUCUCUCUGUCUCUCUCCCUCUCUCUUCCUCUCUCUCUGUCUCUCUCCCUCUCUCUUCCUCUCUCUCUGUCUCUCUCCCUCUCUCUUCCUCUCUCUCUGUCUCUCCCUCUCUCAUCCUCUCUCUCUGUCUCUCUCCCUCUCUCUUCCUCUCUCUCUGUCUCUCUGUCUCUCUCUCUCCCUCUCUUUUCCUCUCUCUCUGUCUCUCCCUCUCUCUUCCUCUCUCUCUGUCUCUCUCUCUCCCUCGCUCUUCCUCUCUCUCUGUUUCUCCCUUUCUCUCUCUCUCUUUCUGUCUCUCCCUCUCUCUCUCCCUCUCUCUUCCUCUCUCUCUGUCUCUCUCUCUCUGUCUCUGUCUCUCUCUCCCUCUCUCCCUCAUCCUCUCCGUCUCUCUCUCCCUCUCUCCCUCAUACUCUCCCUCUCUCCCUCAUCCUCCCUCUCUGUCUCUCUCUGUCUCUCUCUGUCUGUCUGUGUCUCUCCCUCUCUCUCACACACACACACACAAACACCUAAUUAUAAAAUAAUCAGCAAAAGUCCUUGAGAGGAAGCACACAUUCAACCUAGGUAUGUUCAGUUUUGCCCAAGAGACUUCUUGCUUUCCAUCAAGUUCAUGUUUGCUUAUAAAAACAAAACCAAAGCAAGUCAAAACCCAAUACAUUCAGGUGACCCAACUGAGGAGAG
rnacentral:lncRNA from 1 species